rnacentral:rRNA from 1 species
UGUAUAUGUAUAAGUUAUGAUGCGGGUUACUACUUGUAGUAUUGCCUGCACAUUCUUGUAUAUUUAGUUUGCAGGAUGUUGUCGGCGUGCACUUCUCCCCUAGUAGAACGUCGCGACCUGUUGGGUAUCGGUCUACGGCCCAAGUGAUAGACUUUAAUGUAAUUUAAAAAGCAUUAAAGAUCCUUGGUGUUUUCUGACCGGUUACUUGGCAGUAUUCGUACGGUAUUUAGCCGCUAAAUUUAUUAAGCGUCCGUAUCCGUCACAAGCGAGGCUAAUUUACUUGAUAGUACGGACCUAGUGCCGUCGUUGGUAUUGGCCAGCUGUUGGUUGUAUGGUAUUCUAGGACUGGCUAAAAUUAAUUACCGGUCGGCGAUGCUACUGCUUUGGGUACUUUCAGGACCCGUCUUGAAACACGGACCAAGGAGUCUAACAUGUGCGCAAGUCAUUGGGUUAUUUUUUCAAAAUUAAACCUAAAGGCGCAAUGAAAGUAAAAGUUGACCUUGCGUUAACUUAGGGAGGAUAAGUUAUAUUAAGAUAUAGCUUCGCACUCCUGGGGCGUCUCAUUCUUAUUAUAAGAAGAGGCGCACCUAG